AUUGAACGCUGGCGGCAUGCCUUACACAUGCAAGUCGAACGGCAGCACGGGUGCUUGCACCUGGUGGCGAGUGGCGAACGGGUGAGUAAUACAUCGGAACAUGUCCUGUAGUGGGGGAUAGCCCGGCGAAAGCCGGAUUAAUACCGCAUACGAUCUACGGAUGAAAGCGGGGGACCUUCGGGCCUCGCGCUAUAGGGUUGGCCGAUGGCUGAUUAGCUAGUUGGUGGGGUAAAGGCCUACCAAGGCGACGAUCAGUAGCUGGUCUGAGAGGACGACCAGCCACACUGGGACUGAGACACGGCCCAGACUCCUACGGGAGGCAGCAGUGGGGAAUUUUGGACAAUGGGCGAAAGCCUGAUCCAGCAAUGCCGCGUGUGUGAAGAAGGCCUUCGGGUUGUAAAGCACUUUUGUCCGGAAAGAAAUCCUUGGCCCUAAUACGGUCGGGGGAUGACGGUACCGGAAGAAUAUGCACCGGCUAACUACGUG
rnacentral:rRNA from 1 species